UGAACCUUAUCGUUAGAGGAAGGAGAAGUCGUAACAAGGUUUCCGUAGGUGAACCUGCGGAAGGAUCAUUG
rnacentral:rRNA from 1 species